UAAAGAAUAGUUUAAAUAAAAAACAUUAAAAUUUGAAUUUGAAAAUAGUAAUUAAUUUUACUUUCUUUAU
rnacentral:tRNA from 1 species